rnacentral:rRNA from 1 species
GGGGUUAAUUUAAUAAAUAAUAAAUAUGAAAAAAAAUUUUAAUAUAAUAUAUUUAAUGGGGGUUAAAGUAUUUUUAUAGAAAAAAUUUAAAAAUUUAUAGUGAAAUAGUAUUGUGAAAGAAAAAUUGAAAAUAUUGAAAUAAAAAUUUAUUUAAAAGUAAAUUUUAUUUAUUGUAUCUUGUGUAUCAGAGUUUUUUUAAAAAAAAAAAAUUGGGUAAAUUUAUUUCGAAAUUUAAAGAGUUAAUUAAUUAAAAAAGUUAAUAUUGCAUAAUUAUUUUAAAUAAUUAAUUGGAAAUGAAAAGUUAAUCGUUUUGAAUGAUAUCUAAUUUUUUUAGAAAAAAGUUUAAUUUUAAAUAAAUUUUAAAAAUAAUUAUUAAUUAAUUAUUUUUAAAAUUUAAUUUUAUAUUUUAGGGGAUAAGCUUUAAAUUAGAAUUUUAUAAUAAAAGUAAAAAAAAAUUGAAAUUUUUAAAAUUUAUAUUUUUUAUAAAUUAUAGUUUAUUAUCAAUAAUUUCAUUUAAUUAAAAUUUUAUUUUAAUUUAAAUUUUUAUAAAAAAAUAUUUUUUAAUUUAAUAAAAAUAGGUAUAAUGAUAAAAUUAGUAUAUAAUUUAUAAAUAAAAUAAAAAUUAUUUAAAUUAAUAAAAAGGAAUUCGGCAAAAAU